ACGGCUCAGUAACACGUGGACAACUUACCCAAGAGUCCGGGAUAACCCCGGGAAACUGGGGAUAAUACCGGAUAGAUCAUCUGUGCUGGAAGGCUGGGUGGUUGAAACUUCCGGGGCUUUUGGAUGGGUCUGCGGCUGAUUAGGUUGUUGCCGGUGUAACGUACCGUCAAGCCUGUAAUCAGUACGGGUUGUGGGAGCAAGAGCCCGGAGAUGGAUUCUGAGACACGAAUCCAGGCCCUACGGGGCGCAGCAGGCGCGAAAACUCUACAAUGCAGGCAACUGCGAUAGGGGAACAUCGAGUGAUCCUCAUAUUGGGGGUCUGUCCACCCGUCUAAAAAACGGGUGUUAGCAAGGGCCGGGCAAGACCGGCGCCAGCCGCCGCGGUAAUACCGGCGGCUCGAGUGGUGGCCGAUAUUAUUGAGUCUAAAGGGUCCGUAGCCGGCUUUGCAAGUCUCUCGGGAAAUCCAGCGGCUUAACCGUUGGUCGUCCGGGGGGUACUACAUUGCUUGGGACUGGGAGAGGUAGGAGGUACUCAGGGGGUAGGAGUGAAAUCCUGUAAUCCUUUGGGGACCACCGGUGGCGAAGGCGUCCUACCAGAACAGGUCCGACGGUGAGGGACGAAAGCUAGGGGCACGAACCGGAUUAGAUACCCGGGUAGUCCUAGCCGUAAACGAUGCUCGCUAGGUGUCACAACAGUCGUGAAUUGUUGUGGUGCCGUAGGGAAGCCGUGAAGCGAGCCACUUGGGAAGUACGACCGCAAGGUUGAAACUUAAAGGAAUUGGCGGGGGAGCAC
rnacentral:rRNA from 1 species